CCUGCAUUUUUAGUAUUCAAAACUUGGUGGUUGCUAUCGAGCUAGAGGUCGAGGCUGGCCGCGAUGCAGAUGACGCCGGGCACGGCGGUGGCGUCCUCCGGCCAGAUCAAGUCGAGGAGGCGCGGCAGGGGCCGGAUCCGGUGGCGGGGACGGCGUGGAGGCGAUAUAGGAGACGCGGGAGGAGGUCCAGCGGCGGGGCUUGAACUCCAAGUUCAUGGCAGCGGUGUUCCUCGCCGGUUCCAAGCGAGAUGCCGAGUUCUGGUUGGGUCUCUCCAUGGCGACGGUGGCGGGGCGCGACGAGAGGCCGGGAGGUCCUGGCGGUGCCCGGCCCCUGCGCGGGGGGUGGGGGAUGAGGUGCACGGCGGCAGGCGGCAUCAACUCUCCUGCGUGCGGCCAGAAAGAGAGAGAGAGAGAGAUGAGAGAGAGAGAGCCAGGAGGAAGAAGGGAAGGAAGGAGGCUUGAGGAAGGGGCGGCCAGAUCCUGCGAGGCUGGGUUGGAGCCCCGGUGGUCGUGCUGCUGCUGUUGGACGGCGGCCGAUGGCCGAUGGGACAAGUCGCUAGGUAAGAGGAAAAACAUGUGCUGCAUUGGCACAUUUGAUGCAGAGUGGACACUGUAAGUUUCUCCUCCUUAUCUACUUUGUAUUCAGAUUCCUCUCCCUUCUCUAAUUAUUAUUGAGAUAUUCCAUUGCUAUUUGAUGGAGAGCAGUCACCAAAAGUUCCUCUUUUGAUGCACAGCGGCCACCGAAAACAGUUAUCUUUCUCUCUCUAAUUGAUUCUCAGCUACAGAAUGAUGUGUGUGUGUUUGUGUGUUACUUGCUAAUGUGAUGGCUAAUGCAUGUGGAUUGAUUCAUGAAUUAGCAAAAUAUUUCCCGUGAGAUGUGAUAAUAUAGAAAUUUGAUGUUUACAGUGCCCUCUACUUGUUUGUUGUUAUGCCUAUAAGAGAUUAUCUUUUUUCAUUUUUUUAAAUAGAAAAGCACAAUACGGUUGAUCUAGGCCGGUCCGUGGACGGCAAGAAUGCCCAGAUGACCACCAUGCCCAGCCACGACAGGGCGAUGUACUUAUCUGGUGAUGCCUGUGUGUGGGUCUGGACUUGCUUCGGUCCGGAUACACCAUACUGUGUUGGAUGACAUGGAUGGGUGGUGCCCGAGUUGAAGAUGGAUUGUUGUUUCUACACUAGACGACGUGGAUGGUUGGGAUUGAUCACAUUUGUGGUGAAUAGGUGGAUAAUUGGCCGUCAUCAGCGAUUAUAUGAGGAAAACCAGAAGUGGUAACACAAAUAGAGUGCCUAAUGCGUGUAAGGAACUUUUUACCCGUUGCAACGCGCGGGCAUUGACUUAUAUUUAGGAAUGGAGGGAGUAUAUGCCAUGUCUGUCCUUAUCACACUUUGUAUGAUAACACAAGCAGCCCUUCUGAACGAAUUUGGUCUGAAAGUAAAAUAUUGUGCUCCUGUGAUAUAGCCUUUAUUCUCCUCUGUUAUGAUUUUUUUCAGGUAGAAUAUUGAUCCCUUGGCAUCUCCUACUCUUGAAAUUAGGUGCAGCAGCAAUAUUUCGUGGUGAGUACAACAUGAACUACACUUUCAUAUGGUUCAUCGCCUUCUUCGAGAGCAUAUUGAUCAAGAAGUGGACUAUAAGGUGAUUGUUUUCUGCACAGCAGCCAUGGUGACUGAAUUUAUGUAUAUAAUGCUUCGAGAUCUGAAACUAAACGUCAUAGAGAUAAAUUUAGGAAAGCCUCAGCUUUAUAGGACACGUGUAUCUGAAGAGUUACGGGAUUCCAAUCGCCUGAUUCUGGUAACAUCAGAUGUUUCAACACGUGGAGUGAAUUAUCCAGAUGUUACCCCGCCCAUUGGGAAGAUCCUAUGUCACAGCCAUCGGCCUUGUGUCUGGAGCCCCUUGCAGGUGUACUACCGGCACAAAGUGUCCAGCGCGGGCAGCACAAGGAAUUUGGUUUGGGCCCUCGUCUGUAGGUCAUGACGGCUGAUGUUGUCCUCUUCUGCUAUGAUUUUGAUGUUAAAUCCUUUCUUCCAAGGUCAAACGUUGUGUGAUACACCAACGGAUGUAUUUAUGCAGGAAAUUGAUGUUCUGGUAUUGUAGCUUAUUUUCACAAUUUUGAAAUGGCAUGAUUUUGUUGAUAUAGGAGACCUGAGUUGGAUUGGGCUCAUGCCACAUUGAUUGAGAAGAUUGUAUACCUCACAUAUUGCACGAAACCUACUGACGCCACCUGCUGUUGCCACAUCAAUUUCAUAUAGACUGACAAGCUUAUCCUGAAUAACAGGUAGAUGGUGAAAAGCAAUGACAGAAAACAGCACCUUUCUGUUUCUCAAGCUCACAGAAGACUUAUUUUAACUACUGGCUUGAUUCGGUGUCUCCUUCCUGUUCUGCCAACAAGACAUCUUGCACUAAAAUUAACUGAUUUUGUGAAAUCAUUGUGUACAGCAUUUGUAAACUGGUGCGUAGUGGUAUGUUUGACCCAGCUCAUAUCUUUUGUCAGUGACACUAAUGACUUCUUGCAAAGUGAAGACAUGUAACCAUUUUUUGGUUUUAAUUUUCCCUAUUUAAUAUACCAGCCACCUCCUAAACUUUUUGGUGCAUUAGGGGUGGGUUACGCA